AAUGAACGCUGGCGGCGCGCCUAAUACAUGCAAGUCGAGCGAGAAGACGUAGCAAUACGUUUGUAAAGCGGCGAACGGGUGAGGAAUACAUGGGUAACCUACCCUAGAGUGGGGAAUAACUAGCCGAAAGGUUAGCUAAUACCGCGUACGCUCCUUGGACUUCGGUUCAGGGAGGAAAGCGAUGCCGAGGGUAUCGCGCUCUUGGAUGGGCUCAUGUCCUAUCAGCUUGUGGUGAGGUAACGGCUCACCAAGGCUUCGACGGGUAGCUGGUCUGAGAGGACGAUCAGCCACACUGGCACUGCGACACGGGCCAGACUCCUACGGGAGGCAGCAAGUAAGGAAUAUUGCGCAAGUGGGCGAAAGCCUGACGCAGCGACGCCGCGGUGGGGGAGU
rnacentral:rRNA from 1 species